AUUCUCACUUAGGCGGCACUUAUACUAAAAUUGGAAUGAUACUGAGAAGAUUAGCAUGGCCCCUGUGCAAGGAUGACACGCAAAUUUGUGAAGCAUCCCAGAUUUAA
rnacentral:snRNA from 1 species